rnacentral:rRNA from 1 species
CGGGACGGGUGAGUAAUGUCUGGGAAACUGCCUGAUGGAGGGGGAUAACUACUGGAAACGGUAGCUAAUACCGCAUAACGUCGCAAGACCAAAGGAGGGGACCGUUCGGGCCUCUUGCCAUCGGAUGUGCCCAGAUGGGAUUAGCUAGUAGGUGGGGUAACGGCUCACCUAGGCGACGAUCCCUAGCUGGUCUGAGAGGAUGACCAGCCACACUGGAACUGAGACACGGUCCAG